rnacentral:rRNA from 1 species
AGAGUUUGAUCCUGGCUCAGGAUGAACGCUAGCGGCAGGCCUAAUACAUGCAAGUCGAACGGACUGGAGUAGCAAUACUUCAGUUAGUGGCGCACGGGUGCGUAACGCGUAUGCAACCUCCUUUUAUUGGGGGAUAGCCCGAGGAAACUCGGAUUAAUACCGCAUAAGACUGUUUGAGGGCAUCUGAAGACAGUUAAAGCUAAGGCGAUAGAAGAUGGGCAUGCGUGUCAUUAGCUAGUUGGUGGUGGUAACGGCCCACCAAGGCGACGAUGACUAGGGGUUCUGAGAGAGAUCCCCCACACUGGUACUGAGAUACGGCCAGACUCCUACGGGAGGCAGCAGUAGGGAAUAUUGGGCAAUGGAGGCAACUCUGACCCAGCCAUGCCGCGUGCAGGAUGAAGGCCUUCUGGGUUGUAAACUGCUUUUACCAGGGAAGAAAAAACUCUUGCGAGAGGAACUGACGGUACCUGGUGAAUAAGCACCGGCUNNCUCCGUGCCAGCAGCCGCGGUAAUACGGAGGGUGCAAGCGUUGUCCGGAUUUAUUGGGUUUAAAGGGUGCGUAGGCGGCCCGUUAAGUCCGUGGUGAAAGCCAACAGCUCAACUGUUGAACUGCCAUGGAUACUGACGGGCUUGAGUACAGACGAGGUAGGCGGAAUGGAUGGUGUAGCGGUGAAAUGCAUAGAUACCAUCCAGAACACCGAUUGCGUAGGCAGCUUCUAGGCUGUAACUGCNNUGAGGCACGAAACGUGGGGAGCGAACAGGAUUAGAUACCCUAGUAGUCC